UGCCCAGGGUCACACAGCGAGGAGGUGGAGGCCAGGAUUUGCACUCAGGUCUGAAUGUGCUGUGCUGUGCGGUCCCAGUCAAACGCCAGGCUGGAGCUGAGGGCAGUGGGAGCCCUGGGGGCUGUGGAGGGGGGGGAAUGCUCCAGAUCUGUUACAUACACCCUCCAUCCUGGCAGAGACCAGGCACAUUCAACGGGCUCCUCCAGGGAAGAAGUUGGCACCCCGGGGUCCCGGUUCCAGAAGAGUGUUUCUCAUGCUCCCCCUUUUCCAACCUUCUCCCCUCCCCCCAGUUUAGAGGCUUCAGCGUAUCUGCAGCUGGGGGUCCAUAGGCGCUGCUGCUGCUGCCCCGGAGCAGGACAGCCUCCGCCUGGAAGCCUCCCACAUAGCCUCUCCUCUCAGCAUCUGCCCAUAAAUCACUCUGACACCCCGACGAGGGGGGUACGGACAGAUUCCACAUCACCUCCGUGGGACUUUCUGAGCCUCUAGAAUCCUCUCAGCCAAGCCCCACAGCCCAUGACAAAUCGGGACUCCAGUUCCUGCUCAUCAAUGACAGCCAAGGACUUUGCCUCGCCAAGCCUUGUGGCUCUCUCUGUAAGAUGGGGACCGUCACCACGGCACCUGCGUCCUGGGUGGUUUUGCGGGGGAUAAACUGAGGGGCCACAUGUGAAAGCCACUGUGAACUAGACCAGGGGCUGUGAACCUGACUGUGGCUUGGAGGAGGAGGAGGAUGUGGGAGCGAAGAUUGGAGGUGGUUGGGGAGAUGGAUGGGCUGAGGUGACAAAAGGGCUGGGCGUGAGCAAGGGAGCCAGGGGGGCCUAGGCUGGGGGCUUCAAAUGCCAGGCAGAGGCCCCAGUUCCUGACGAGUGGACAUGUGUCUCCCAGCAGGACACCAGGCCGGCACAUCCGUCACUGCCCGGGGCCUCCAGCCCAGGCUCCAGCCGCUGGCUAUGGCAGCGGAUCAAAGGGCUUGGAGGACGAGGCCGACAGCUGGGCAGGCCCACUGCCCUUGCUGACCCUGGGCUAGCGGCCCAGGCCUCAGGAGAGUGGGGCCUGGAGGGGCCUGAGGACGAGGCUGCAACAGAGCGGAUUCAGCUUCAGCAAACAGCAUCUACUGGGCACCAGACCGGGCCGGGUUUUGCUCCAUCACUGAACUGGAUGCCCACGUCGUGUUAACCCACAUGAUAGAUGAGGACAUCAACCCCAGAGGCCUGUUCUGUCUGCGUCUCCUCCUGCUGGCCAUCCUUACCCACAAAGGAGAGGGUAUAUCCAGGGAAACCUAGUGGAAGCAACCAGAUGGAGCGGGGAGAGAUGCAGGAAAGCUGGGGAGGGGGAAGGAGGCCCUUGAACACCAGGAUAGUGUCUCUGGACCUGAUCUGUUCAGCUUGGAGGGCUCCAGGACCACGGCUCCCUCCUCACCUGGCUCGGCCCUCCGAGACCCACAGCUGGCACAGGGACUGGAGAGGUUGCUACAGGCCUCCAGCUCCCC
rnacentral:lncRNA from 1 species